GACGAACGCUGGCGGCGUGCCUAAUACAUGCAAGUUGAGCGCUGAAGGUUGGUACUUGUACCAACUGGAUGAGCAGCGAACGGGUGAGUAACGCGUGGGGAAUCUGCCUUUGAGCGGGGGACAACAUUUGGAAACGAAUGCUAAUACCGCAUAAAAACUUUAAACACAAGUUUUAAGUUUGAAAGAUGCAAUUGCAUCACUCAAAGAUGAUCCCGCGUUGUAUUAGCUAGUUGGUGAGGUAAAGGCUCACCAAGGCGAUGAUACAUAGCCGACCUGAGAGGGUGAUCGGCCACAUUGGGACGGAGACACGGCCCAAACGCCUACGGGAGGCAGCAGUAGGGAAUCUUCGGAAAUGGAGGAAAGGCUGACCGAGCAACGCCGCGUGAGUGAAGAAGGGUUUCGGAUCGUAAAACUCUGUUGGUAGAGAAGAACGUUGGUGAGAGUGGAAAGCUCAUCAAGUGACGGUAACUACCCAGAAAGGGACGGCUAACUACGUG
rnacentral:rRNA from 1 species